GGGUGUGUGAGUGAGUGAGAGACAAUUAAUUGUAAGCUCCUUUCGCCUGCAGAGACGACCCUUCGUCGCAUGUCAAUCAACCCUCCACGAGCGGGGAUUUUAUUGCUGACAAUGGCAAAAGUCCUCCCCGCGCAGGACGACGGGACGACGGGCGUGUUACUUAGUCAAAAUCACGUAGUUAUAAAAUUUUUUAUUGCCCUACACAAAGGCGGACAAGGGCGGCGUCGCUCAAAUUGACAACUUCAAUGGCCAGCAGGGGAUCGGGCAGUACGAGUACGAGUACGAGUACGGGUCCUGGUACUCGAAUUCUGGUCUGGACUGAAAGGAGAACCCGCUGUACUCCGCCUCCGUAGAAACCCCAGCGAAAAUGUCUAAUGAGCUCAGCUCGUCUCGACUCGACUCAACUGACAGACAUUUGUCAUUUGGCCAAAGCUGCAGGCGUGUUUCGAGGCGAAACGAUAAGAAAAGUAUCUACAACACGAACAUCCUGGAACAUCCUUUUAUGCAGAUGACAAAAGAGAAAGUAACAGUUUGGGAGGAGACUGUCAAAGGAGCAUUAUUAAAUGAAACACUUAGACGAUCCCACACUCAAAGUACUCUGCUUAGAAAUCAAUUCCCUUAACCCCCUCCCCUACGCCACCCAGCAAAUGAAACUCUUUCAAUAUUUUUUCCAAGUUUUCCACACACACGCUCGCAUUCAUAAUUUAGGCACUUGUUUCACGCAUAUUUUACUGAAUGGCCAUUCAUAAAAGCGCCCAACUUCCAUUCCACUUCCAUUUUUGGGGGAAAAGAAGCAAAGGAAAACAAAUAAACAGAGGCAAACAAAUGGGCAUCGAGUACCGCCCAUAUGGCGACACUGAAGGAGAUUGAGAGCGAAAGGUCCUUGAAAAGAUGGGGAGAAAGUGAUUCCUGCCGCCCAUCUUUUGGGUGCGGGGCACACACUCGAAUAAAUCCCAACUCAUAACAACGGCAAAUAUGAAGGGCAAACAGUAAACACUAAUGCAAACAAGGGGAAUCAAUAUGCCGGGUUCAGACUGAGGCGGUUUCCCGAUUCUGGCCACCAAUCAUUAAUCAUAACGCAUCAUCAUCAGCCAUGUUGGCGUUUCGCCUUCAAGAACUCCGCCUGGAUGGGUAAAUGGGUGAAACGGUCGAUGGGUGGACGAAUGGGUGACCUGUCACUUUCAGAGAUCCCAGGAGAAGUGGCGAGUCCCUUGCCGUAUAGAGUGUAUUGAUGUGUCGACACAGCCCGUCCCCUGUCCAAAGUGUGAAUAUGACGGACCGGCGUGAUCCAUAAAUCCUUCAACAAACUGCAAAGUUUCACUCUCGAUGUGGAGGUGGAAUGCCAUAGGUGGGUGGCAAAUGAAAUUCCCCCACUGAAGGUACUUUACCCACUUUUUUUCGCUUGCAAUUUUCAUUAGCACUCCUGCCCCACGACCAAGAUUAAUUUGCAUUUUUUCCGCUGGCUCUUCAUCUUCGUAGUUAGUCAUGAAUAUGAAGGAGGCCGACGAGAUGCAGCAUCAUCAUCAUCAUCACCAGCAUCACCAUCAGCAUCAGCAUCGCGGAAUACAAUCAGCUUAACUUACAAGCUGCAUAAACAGCCAGCGGAAGCGGCUGAGAGUAAACUCUCGGGCUGCUGUGAUUGCAUUUGUGUCUUGGUUAUAAAUUUUAAUUUUCCCAACCCCACCACCCCCCGCGCAGUUUGAGGAAUUUGCAGGACUUUCAGCGAACACGCGAUUAAUUUGCAAUGAGUUGAAAUUGAAGAUGAUUGCAGUGGAUGCAAGAAAACAGGGGAAUUUCAGAUACCGGAACAUAAUAGGUUCUUUUCAGCCGGGGACCGAUGCAAAUUGGUGGGGCGAAGGCACUGCGACUUGCGACUUACUCCAUCAUAUCCAUAAAAGAUAAUCUCUCGACAAAUUUCCGUUUAUGCCAGAGAAAAGUUUGCGGCCAUAAAAAAUACUUUACGGCAAGACAUUUGUCCGCAACGAGUUUUUAAUAUUUGCUCAAGUUGUCCAGAAGAAAAGGCGCCCAGCCGAAAUGAGUUUCGAUUUCAUCUGGGGGCAAGGACAAAUAAAAUUUUAUUGAAAAUCUUCCCGCCGAAGGACGAGCGACCCUCCACACAUACCGAAACAUAAUCGCUGGCUAUAAAAACAAAGGCGCAGCAAACAAAAACGGAAAAACUAAUAAUCGUGCGCGCCGAUAAACACAGAAAUUCAAGUUGGCCAAAGGACAUGGGAGCUCUCGCCAGGAUAAGGGCGAAAUAAACAAUCAAGUUAAACCGCGAUAACCAGCAUGACAAAGGAUAAUGGAUAACAUGGCCCAGGACUCUGGAAAUCGGCGCAGUUGGGGCAUAAGAAAUGGCUCGCCAUCGAAAUGCUUACGACAGCGUGUAGAAUUAGAUUUUAUUGUAAUUCGCCUUCGAUUCGACACGGCUCGAAUGUCCUGCAUCCACUGGGACUCGUUUGGCUGAAGCUGCUGCUUCGAAGGAUGUGGGCCUGCUGUUUGUCUCUUCAGCUGAGUGGUUGACAAUGUGGCAGAGUCCUUGUGGUUGUGGUGGUCCUGUUGGUCCUGGUGGUGCAUUUUCUUAACAGUUGCCUGGGCAAAUUAGUUCACUGCGAGGCGAAUGCAAUUUGCACACGGAUUUCGGUGGCUGGCUUAGCCGCAAAAGUGACCCUGGGGAAUUAGGUGAUUUGGGAGGAGAUUUCAAUUGCCCUGGGAGUCCACCAAGGCCACUCUCAAGUGUAUAUUUAUAUGUAUUAAACUAUCCUUUAAUAUUGGUUCAUAGGGUGAAGUUGUUAAAUGAUUUUUCAGAACGGAGGAUUUCAGUUCCUAGAAAACACAAAUCUUAUCACGCCAUUAAGCAUAAGCGGUGUUUUCCAUCUGUCGCACACUUAAUCCUCUAAAUCCUCAUGUUGCUGCGCAGUCAAAGUGAAAGUAAUAAAGCCACAAUUAAAAGCGGCUCCUGAUUCGCUUCCACACA